rnacentral:rRNA from 1 species
GACGUAGGGCGCGAGCGUUGUCCGGAAUUAUUGGGCGUAAAGAGAACGUAGGCGGUUUGUUAAGUUUGGGCUUAAAGACUGGGGCUCAACCCCAGGAGUGGCUCGAAAACUGACAGACUAGAGGAUGGCAGAGGAAAGUGGAAUUCCCAGUGUAGCGGUGAAAUGCGUAGAUAUUGGGAGGAACACCAGUGGCGAAAGCGACUUUCUGGGCCAUUCCUGACGCUGAGGUUCGAAAGCUCGGGGAGCAAACAGG